GGCCUGAUGGUCUAGGGGUAUGAUUCUCGCUUAGGGUGUGAGAGGUCCCGGGUUCAAAUCCCGGUCAGGCCC
rnacentral:tRNA from 1 species